AACUAUAAAUAACAAAAACAAAAUCUCAUACUUUUUAUAUCUUUAUUAUUAAAAAUCAUAUCCACUGAAGGAUUUAUUUAAUUAGUGUCACAACAAAUAUGACAGAAAUAUAACAGAAUCAGUCGACAUUGUUGGGAAGCUUUGACAGUUUUCUUGUCCUGUAUCUGUUUGGCUCUCAGAGACAAUGGUGACAGAUACCUUUGUGUUAUAAAGGAGAAAACUAAACGUUUGAUUUAUUGGAUACUGAAAAUGCUCUGGUCUACUUUCUGUUCUAACAACCUUUCGGGAUCCUCAGGUUUUAUCAAAAUGAUACACACCUUCAAAAAUUUGAAGGCAGAAAUUUAAUUGGUUGAUAUAAAAAAAUUUAGAACAGAAAGUAGGACGGAGUGUUAUCAGAUACUUGUAAUUGAAGCUUGGGUACAGGAUCUGCAUUUUAAUCGGACUGCUUCAUACUUAAACUAGCCUUCUUUCAAAUUUACUGGGGUUUGACAAAAAUGAAAAGUUCAUUCUGGUGAUAAGUUUGAGUAUAUAAAGUGAAAGUCUCUUCUUAAGAGGGGGAGGGGGCUUCUCACAGUGUUAGACCUAGUUCAGGCCUAUUUGAGUAAAAAAAUAAAUGUGAGAGGGUUGAGAGGAGAACUUUUAAGAGAAGUCCCCCAUUUAAUGAUCAUAAUGAUAGUAUGCAUAAAUCUUUUGAGCAUUGAAUGCAAAAAGAUCAAAUACAACACAUGCAAGAAUUAGGAAGUUUAAAUGGAAUAUCAAGCCCUUGUAAGGAUACCAUCACUCAUUAUCCAAGGAUGUGGAGGCAAGAGAAUGUAAUGGUUUAUAUAGAGAGAUAUUUCUUUUGCUCUAUUUUAUUUAUAUAAAAUUGUAUUGAUAUAUAUAUUUUUUAAUUUUAUUUUUUCAAUUAAGCAAUUGCAUUUAUUUCAUUUUCAUUUAAAAUUUUUAGCAAUGCAUAAUUUAUUUGAUUUUUUUUUUGGAUUUUUUUUUUUUUUUUUUUUUAUUUUUUUAUUUUUUUUAUAAAUAUUUUUGUUUGUUUUUUGGGGGACUCUAGUUUAUGAUUCUAUAAACAGAAAUAAUAUCCAUCUAUAAAGUAAUAGAUACAACGAUUACAAACAGAGUUAUCUUCCCAAUCAACCUCGACUGAUUCCUUUAUAUUUCCAUCCUCAUUAACUAUAAUAUCAAACAAACAAAAAAAUUGUCAACUAAUGUUGUUCUAUCACACACGAAUAACAAAACAAUAUUUACAUAUAUACUAAAUAGUGUAUUUCUUGUUCUGUCUAAAAUAUGGAUAAUUGGCACAAAAUGAUAAAAUAAUUGGCAAAACUAUUUCACUUGCAUUCAUAAUACUAGAAUAAUCACACACAGUAACAUAAAUAUUACAUCUUAAAGCAAAGACCAGUUUUCUGUAAAAAAAAAUAUAAUUUAAGAAGCUGUUUUCUUUUUAAGUUUGUUAUUGUUGUUAUAUAUAAAUUAAAUAUUUAUCCGUUCUUUAUGAGUCUCCUGCGUUUAAUGUCCAAAAAAUGAUCUGGUAAAAAAAAUACAAUUCAUGUAAAUUCAUCGCAGAUGAUCCCUCAGCAAUUUAUUUGUCAACACUCGUGGGUUUUUUAAUUGCUCUUGCUAUUUUCUUAAAAAUUACAAAAUAAAAGUAAACUGGUUAUCAGGUAAAACAGUCUUUGCUAUAAAAUAACUUGACUUUCUUUCUUCAUAGUAUUGCUAUUAAUAAUGUAUUUUUUUAUAUAAAUAAAUAAUAAUUUGUUAUGAAGAUAUUCUACAGCGACAUCUUACCCUUUAUGAUGAUCUAUAAUGAUACAUAUAUAUUUUCCUCAGUACACCAGUUUUAAUACAUAUAUUUUCCUCAUUAAAUACUGAAGCUCAAUAUAAUAUAAAUAUUAAAUUCUCAACUUGAGAUCAAAGAAAGAUAUCUAUAACAACAAAAACAAAACAAAAAAUCAAAUGCUUCGCUGAGCGCAGCAUGAUAUCACCACAGAUUUUUUUUGUGGUCGUAUAAAAAGUUCAGUGUGGCCUUUAAAACAGAAUUUUUAAAACUAUCUUAUUUGCGGGUUGUUUGACAAAAUGUUAUCCCCAACAAUGAAUAUAGAAUAUGAAUCCCUGACGACAGAAAUGAAUUGAACAAAUCAGAAAUUAUAUGAAACAGAAUUUAAUACAAAUGCAUGAUUUUCUUAUAUGAAAAAAAUUAAAAUUUAAUCACAAAACUUCUCAUUCAAAUUAUCUCCCCUGAAAACUGAGUGACCUCCCCUUAAUGAUAUUAUAUACAUGCACACAAAGGAACAUUGGGAGCACCAAACUGGGAAUUCUGGGAAUUCUGGAAUGGAGGAAUCUACACUACAAAUCUACUAGAUAAAAACUAAAUGGAAUGAAGCAACACUUUAGCACUAAUAUCGCUUGGAAUGUUUCAUAAAGACAUAAUUAAAUAUAAUGUCAUCUAUGAAUUUGAUUGGACGACUGGGUAAAAUACACAACUAAAAAUAAUAUUAAUAUGCACCAUAUUUGACAACACUUAUUUUACACAGAUAAUUAACUUUGUCUUAACAAGUUAAGUAGCAAAGUUAUUGUAUAUAUAAUGAUCAUUUUAUGGUUUAUUUUUUCUUCAAGACACAUUUUUAUUCUGCUUUUUUUCAUCAAUUUCUUAUUUACUGUGGUUAAAACUAAUUAUUCUUUACAAAAUAAUCUUGAAAAAAAAACAGCAUAAAAAAAUUGUAAGCUCCUUGCUUGAAUAUGAUAUUUUAUCAUAAAAAAAGUUUGAUAAAAACCUCACAAAUAGAGUUGGCAUGAUUAGAAAUUAACCUAUUAUUCAAUAACCUGUUCCUAUUGUUGCAAUGAUCAUUAUAACUCUCAACUAUUGAUCCAGUGGCAAGUAAUUUAUGCACAAUACAUUAUUUCAGACUGUCUAAAAAAAAAUCUACAAGCUUUAAUCAUGCAACUAUGCCUUGGAAUAAAACUAAUUAAUGGUAUAUACAUGCUUGGAAAGUUAUUUACAUAUUUACAUACUGUUUGAAUUUUAAAUGAUAUUUGUGAUUUCUACUUCAUACAUGAUUUUGUUUAAGAUGAUGAACUUGAUAAUUGUAUUAAUGUUUAUUGAUAAAAAAGUGUAUACAGGAGGUCAUUUGAAUAUCAUACUACAAGUUACUUUAUCUUGUAUAAUUUUAGGAAAAUUCAUUAUUAUUCUUUCUGAUCUUCAGAAAAUUGUACAAUUCCAAUAUAUUAUAUCUGGUUAAGCUCACAAUGUAUAUCUGGAAACUUGUUUUAAGACAAAUCUUAAUGGCAUGGAUUUUAUCAACUCUUAAAAGUCGGGUAAGCAUGUACUUUUUUUAUUACAAGUUUAAAUACAACAGCCAUGAAGGUUUUUACUCCUUAAUAGUUCAAAAAUGUUUACAACUGAUGUUUAAACUUUAGAAAGCUUCAUUUCAAUUCAAUGGAGCAUACAUAUACUUUAUGUGAAAUAAACCUAGAAAUUUCAGUGUAAAUAAAAAAAAAUUGUAUGAUAUAGAAAUGCAAAAGGACAAACAUUUUCAGACAUACCAAAUUCAAAAACAAAUACUUCAUAUAUAUCAUAAAUAAAUCAAAAUC
rnacentral:lncRNA from 1 species